GUUGAUCCUGCCAGUGAUUAUAUUCUCAGAUAAAAGAUUAAGCCAUGCAUGUCCAAGUGUAAACAAGUUACUAGUGAAACUGCGUAUGGCUCAUUACAAGACUGUUCACCUACCCGAGAACCAAGUAACAAUUGGAUAACCGUUGUAAUUCAAGGGCUAAUCAUGCACGAAAAAUAGUUUUCGCAAGAGAAUUAUUGCAAGAAGGAGCCUGAGAGACGGCUACUACAUCUAAGGAAGGCAGCAGGCGCGCAAAUUUCCCAAUGCUCAUCGAGCGAGGAAGUGACGAUCAAUAACAAUGCGUGAUUUUUAAAAUUAUGCAAUUGGAAUGACUACGAUUUAAAGAGUCUAAGGAGGAUCAAUUGGAGGGCAAGUCUGGUGCCAGCAGCCGCGGUAAUUCCAGCUCCAAUAGGAUAUAUCAAUACUGUUGCAGUUAAAAAGCUCGUAGUUGAGUUUUUGGUGGGUUUUGUUGUUUUAUUUAUUUUAAUGAAAGUUGAAAUAUAAUAGAACCGCCUGCCACAUUGUGGAUCCCUAGUUUUAUUUUGAUUGUUAACUCGAUUGAGAUAAAAUUACCACUCAGUUACUGAGAGCAAAUUGGAGUGCUCAAAGCAAGCUUUCUAGCUUUGAACAUAUUAGCUUGGAAUAACAAAAAAGGACUUGCGUUCAUUUUGUUGGUUAUGAUUUUACGUGAGUAAUGACUAAAAGAAACAGUUGCGGGGGUAUUGUAAUUAUUGACAGUACCGUAUGAGAAAUCAAAGUUUUCGGGUUCCGGGGGGAGUAUGGUCGCAAGGUUGAAACUUAAAGGAAUUGACGGAAAGGUACACCAGAGGUGGAGCCUGCGGUUUAAUUUGACCCAACACGGGAAAUCCUACCAGGUCCAGACAUAGUGAGGAUUGACAGUUUGAAAGCACUUUCUUGAUUUUAUGGGUGGUGGUGCAUGGCCGUUCUUAGUUGGUGGAGUGAUUUGUCUGGUCGAUUCCGAUAACGAACGAGACGCUCAGAACUAACUAAUGCAUGCUGAAACUCACGUUUUAUGCACAUUGAUUAUUUCGACAACUUGGUUCUACCAAGAGGAAGAAGAGCGCAAUAACAGGUCUGUGAUGCCCUUAGAUGUUCUGGGCUACACGCGCGCUACAAUGACGAAUUCAACGAGUUUUUUAUUCCUUGUCCGGAAGGAUGUGGGUAAUCUUUUCAAUGUUCGUCGUGAUGGGGCUAGAUUAUUGCAAUUAUUAAUCUUCAACGAGGAAUCUCUAGUAUGUGCAGUUCAUCAGACUGCGCAGAAUGCGUCCCUGCCCUUUGUACACACCGCCCGUCGCACCUACCGAUUGGACGAUCCGGCAAGAUGUUUGGAUUUGUUUUAUUUUCCGCAAGGUUGAUAAAAUGAAGAAGCUCUUCAAACCUUAUCGUCUAGAGGAAGGUGAAGUCGUAACAAGGUCUCCGUAGGUGAACCUGCGGAGGGAUCA
rnacentral:rRNA from 1 species